rnacentral:rRNA from 1 species
UGCCAGCCGCCGCGGUAACACGUAGGGGGCGAGCGUUGUCCGGAUUUAUUGGGCGUAAAGAGCUCGUAGGCGGUUCAGUAAGUCGGGUGUGAAAACUUGAGGCUCAACCUCAAGAGGCCACUCGAUACUGCUGUGACUUGAGUCCGGUAGAGGAGUGUGGAAUUCCUGGUGUAGCGGUGAAAUGCGCAGAUAUCAGGAGGAACACCGACAGCGAAGGCAGCACUCUGGGCCGGUACUGACGCUGAGGAGCGAAAGCGUGGGGAGCGAACAGGAUUAGAUA